CAGCCGCCGCGGGAAUACAGAGGGUGCGAGCGUUAAUCGGAUUUACUGGGCGUAAAGCGUGCGUAGGCGGCUUUUUAAGUCGGAUGUGAAAUCCCUGAGCUUAACUUAGGAAUUGCAUUCGAUACUGGGAAGCUAGAGUAUGGGAGAGGAUGGUUGAAUUCCAGGUGUAGCGGUGAAAUGCGUAGAGAUCUGGAGGAAUACCGAUGGCGAAGGCAGCCAUCUGGCCUAAUACUGACGCUGAGGUACGAAAGCAUGGGGAGCAAACAGGAUUAGAUACCCCUGUAGUCCCUGUCUCUUAUAC
rnacentral:rRNA from 1 species